UAUAUCCAAAGGCAUGGAAUAAAUGACUUUUAUAUUGGUGUGGUAUUGUCUCUGAGCUCCAGCAUUUUUAGUGGGGAGAAGUACACUUUGAAAUAAACAAAAACAAGGUCUCUUACCAGGAUAGGAACCAUGAAAGCAGAUCUAAGUGACCAUGCAUAUCUAAAAGAAUGGUUGUGGUGGGCCGGACUCUCAAGGGGAGCCAAUGAGGUUGCCAACUUUACUGCCUCUGGGCCAGCUGCCUUAGCGCCUCCAUUAGGAGCUCUCAUUGUCCUUGUAAAGGUCUGCAGUUACAGUCAUUCAUCCUUCAAAAGGAGAGGACAUAGAGACCUUACAUAAAAUGUCUUGCAAGCUAGGUGAUCCACAUUUUAUGGUUUUUGUAAAACUUGUGGCCAUUGUAGUCUUGAUUUAAUCUUGGUUUUAGGACUUCACCACAAACUGAGCAUUGUCUUUACAUAACCAUCUGCUCUGUAAGCAGAGCGUUUUCAGUCUGCUAUGUUAAAGGCCUGAGCAUUGUUUUAAAGAACUUUCUGCUGGAAAGUCUCUGCUGAGACAUCCCUUGGCCUGGUUUCUGCUGCUAAGCCUCACAGUCUGUGUAAGCACACAGAUUAAUUAUUUAAACAGGGCCCUGGACAUAUUGAACCCUUCUAUAUAGCAACUUCAAUGUAUUAUGUGUUCUUUAACAUCAGUUUUAACUUACUCAGCUCUUUAAGAAGGGGCAAGAUAUGCCUGUCGAUUACAUUAUUGGUACUUUGAGUGUCUUCUUAGGAUGUUUAUGGGGAUGUCAUUAUUGCAUGCCUUUAAAGAUGACUGUUUAGCAAAAUUUCCCAUGUCUUUUUGAGAUGAAAAAGCAAUUAAUGCAAUCUCUCUAAUAUUCUUAAUAUGUCUAAUAUUAUUAAUAGCAACAAAGUUUAACUUGUAGAACUGAACAACAAACUGGUCAAAGUAUCCCCCAAAAGAAAUAAAAAUCUGAUAGUUU
rnacentral:lncRNA from 1 species